GACGAACGCUGGCGGCGUGCCUAAUACAUGCAAGUUGAGCGAUGAAGAUUGGUGCUUGCACCAAUUUGAAGAGCAGCGAACGGGUGAGUAACGCGUGGGGAAUCUGCCUUUGAGCGGGGGACAACAUUUGGAAACGAAUGCUAAUACCGCAUAACAACUUUAAACAUAAGUUUUAAGUUUGAAAGAUGCAAUUGCAUCACUCAAAGAUGAUCCCGCGUUGUAUUAGCUAGUUGGUGAGGUAAAGGCUCACCAAGGCGAUGAUACAUAGCCGACCUGAGAGGGUGAUCGGCCACAUUGGGACUGAGACACGGCCCAAAGUCCUACGGGAGGCAGCAGUAGGGAAUCUUCGGCAAUGGACGAAAGUCUGACCGAGCAACGCCGCGUGAGUGAAGAAGGGUUUCGGAUCGUAAAACUCUGUUGGUAGAGAAGAACGUUGGUGAGAGUGGAAAGCUCAUCAAGUGACGGUAACUACCCAGAAAGGGACGGCUAACUACGUG
rnacentral:rRNA from 1 species